GUGACCUAAACCUAGCCAUCGCUUAAAACACUCACUCUGCACUCUCUACUCUCGAAGAAACCCACUCCCAGCACCUUCCAGCCCGCGUGAACCCACUUCCUUCUAGCACCUCCCAGUGCCGGCGAAUCCCUUCCUUCCACCAUCUCCCAACAUCGCCAAACCCUUCCUCCUAGCACCUCCUUGCGGACAGCACCACCCUUGCGGACACUGCACCACCCCCGCUGCCAUCCACAGCACCAUUUCUAGCUUCGCAAACAGCACCACCCAGCCACCCACAACAUCAUUUAUGGCCUCACAGAAAGCAACCCAGCCACCGAGUCAAGUCAGAUAUGGAGCCUCCGAUUCAGUCUGGCACGAAAGGAAACAAGAAGAGGCGUUAAUCAUUGCAGAUUAGGACAUCUUGCAAUCAAAAAAUUGAAAGGGGGUAGAGCAUGACAUUCUAUCAAUGGUUUUCUCCGAGUUAUGUAGUUUUGGAGUUCAAAACAAAUUCAAGCAUUACGUUCCUUCUAUUCGAACUGAUUACCUCCAGUUUGGUAUCAUGCUUCACCAAUGGAAAAUGAUGAUAAUAAGAGACUGAAGUAGUGUUCAUUGACUGCAUUCCUAUUAUGUACGAGUGACCUAAUGUGUUGAGAAAUACAGUUCUUUGUGGUUUUAUUGUUUGUUUCUUUUUUUUUGCUUUUGAUUGUUGUUCAUUUGAUGUUGUGGCUUUGUUUCUGAAAUAGUAUGGUAGUUUUUUUUUUAAUUGAUUGAAAAAACCGAACAAACCAAAGCAAACCAAACCGAUUUUAAUUGGU